rnacentral:rRNA from 1 species
CCUACGGGUGGCUGCAGUUUCGAAUCAUUCACAAUGGGGGCAACCCUGAUGGUGCAACGCCGCGUGGGGGAUGAAGGUCUUCGGAUUGUAAACCCCUGUCACUAGGGACAAAACGCACGGCUCAUACCCGUGCCUGAUUUAACCUGGAGAGGAAGAGGUGGCAAACUCUGUGCCAGCAGCCGCGGUAAUACAGAGACCUCGAGCGUUACUCGGAUUUACUGGGCGUAAAGGGUCCGCAGGUGGCUUUGUGUGUCGGGUGUGAAAUCCCAUGGCUU